ACACGUUGGUCCUUGAUCUUUGA
rnacentral:siRNA from 1 species